GUGCUCAUUAUGGCAGCACAUAUAAUAAAAUUGGAAUAAUACAGAGAUUAGAAUGCCCCUGCUCAAGGAUGACACGCAAAUUCGUGAAGUGUUUCAUAUUUUU